GGAAGGGAUAGGAUAUUUUUUUUUGGCAUGUUUUGGGAUGUGAAAUUGUGAAGGGAGGAUAAAAUCCUGUAAGAGUCUAGGAUCACUAGGACUCUUCACCCCACCUCCUUAUAUGUAUAUAAAAGGGGUUUUUAUGAUUUCUUUUAUGUGUGUAAGAUACCAGAAGAGAGAUCUUCAUGUGGUGGAAGUUUGGACAUAGUUCAUGACGUAAAAAAUAGAGAGGGUCCUCUCUCUUGGGGUGUGCACAAAAACUUGAAUUUCAGAUUUUUGGUUGUAAGGGUUUGGAAAGAGAGAAUAAAUUAGAAAAAAAAUAUUUUCUUCUUUAUCUUUCUUUCACCUCUUUAUCUCCUCUAGAAGUUUAUCUUCAAUCUUUGAAAAGAUUUUAGAGAUUUGAAAAAAGAAUCCAGAUUGGCCAAGAAGAAGGUUUCAUGCGAGCUAGCACUCUCUAGAAGACCGAUCAGAUCGGGGCUUCGAGUGGAUUUUUCGUAAAGGCCGGACGUAUGUGUGGCUAUGAGCAACCAGCAAGGAUCCUCUCUACCAUAUUUUUUAGUAGUGA
rnacentral:lncRNA from 1 species